rnacentral:rRNA from 1 species
UACAGAGGUCUCAAGCGUUGUUCGGAUUCAUUGGGCGUAAAGGGUGCGUAGGUGGCGGGGUAAGUCAGGUGUGAAAUCUCGGAGCUCAACUCCGAAACUGCACCUGAUACUGCCUUGCUGGAGUACUGGAGAGGAGAUUGGAAUUUACGGUGUAGCAGUGAAAUGCGUAGAUAUCGUAAGGAAGACCAGUGGCGAAGGCGAAUCUCUGGACAGUUACUGACACUGAGGCACGAAGGCCAGGGGAGCAAACGGG